CCUACGGGAGGCAGCAGUGAGGAAUAUUGGUCAAUGGGAGGAAUCCUGAACCAGCCAUGCCGCGUGCAGGACGACGGCUCUACGAGUUGUAAACUGCUUUUGUACCGGGGUAAAUGCCUUACGUGUAGGGUUUUGAAAGUACGGUACGAAUAAGGAUCGGCUAACCUCGUGCCAGCAGCCGCGGUAAUACGGAGGAUCCGAGCGUUAUCCGGAUUGAUUGGGUUUAAAGGGUGCGUAGGUUGUUUUAUAAGUUAGCGGUGAAAUACCGAGGCUCAACAUCGGGGCUGCCGCUUAUACUGUCAGACUAGAGUUGGAAUGAAGCAGGCGGAAUGUGUGGUGUAGCGGUGAAAUGCAUAGAUAUUACACAGAACACCGAUUGCGAAGGCAGCAUGCUGGCCCGGAUCUGACGCUGAUGCACGAAAGCGUGGGGAUCGAACAGGAUUAGAUACCCCUGUAGUC
rnacentral:rRNA from 1 species